CAGGUGACUCAGUGGUAGAACAUCUGAUUUCCAUGCAGGAGGUUGCAGGUUCAAUCCCUGGCAUCUUGA